rnacentral:rRNA from 1 species
UGCAGUCGAGCGAUAACAAUGAAGAACUUGGUCUGCUUUGCUGACGAGUGGCGGACGGGUGACUAAUGUCUGGCAUGCUGCCUGAAGUGGGAUGAUUCCUACUGGAAGCGGCUACUACUACCGCAUAACGUGAACCGACCAAAGAGGGGGACCUUCGGGCCUCUUGCCAUCGCAUGCGCCCGGAUGCGAUUAGCUAUAAGGAGGUGUAACGGCUCCCCUAGGCCACGAUCCCUAUGUGGACUGAAACGAUGACCAGCCUCACUGGAACUGAGACACGGUCCCGACUCCUACUCCAGGCAGAGGUGGGGAAUAUUGCUCAAUGGGCGCGAGCCUGAUGCUGACAUGCCGCGGGCAUGAGAAAGGCCUUCGGUUUGUAAUGUACUUUCUCUGGUGAGGAAGGAGAUCAGGUGACUAACCUUGACGAUUGACCCUACCCGCAGACUAACCACCGGCUAACUCCGAGCCACCAGCCGCGAUACUACGGAGGACGCAAGCGUUAAUCGGAAUUACUGGUUGUAGAGCGCACGCAGGUCGCCUGUCAAGUCUUAUGUGAGAUCCCCGGGCUCCCGCUGCGAACUGCAUUCGACACUGGCAGGUUAGAGUCUUGUAUGGGGAGGAAGAAUUCCAGGUGCCGCGUGGAAAUGCGUAGAGAUCUGAAGAUGAUACCGGAAGACCAAUG